rnacentral:rRNA from 1 species
CCUACGGGGGGCAGCAGUGAGGAAUAUUGGUCAAUGGUCGGGAGACUGAACCAGCCAAGCCGCGUGAGGGAUGAAGGUACAGAGUAUCGUAAACCUCUUUUGUCAGGGAACAAAGGCGGGGACGUGUCCCCGGCUGAGUGUACCUGAAGAAAAAGCAUCGGCUAACUCCGUGCCAGCAGCCGCGGUAAUACGGAGGAUGCGAGCGUUAUCCGGAUUUAUUGGGUUUAAAGGGUGCGCAGGCGGUCUGUUAAGUCAGCGGUCAAAGCCCGGGGCUCAACCCCGGCCCGCCGUUGAAACUGGCAGUCUCGAGUUGGCGAGAAGUAUGCGGAAUGCGCGGUGUAGCGGUGAAAUGCAUAGAUAUCGCGCAGAACUCCGAUUGCGAAGGCAGCAUGCCGGCUCCACACUGACGCUGAGGCACGAAAGCGUGGGUAUCGAACAGGAUUAGAUACCCUAGUAGUC